AAAAUCCAUUGUUUGUACUGACUUUUUCCUUUGAUGGUUCUUACUGAGUUGUUAGCUGGUGUGAUCUUGUGAACCACUUCUACCUGUUGAUGUUCUUUCCCUUCAAAUUUGUGAUUUUGUACCCAGUCUAGAGUUCUUGCUUCCAUUCUGGUCUGCAGAGCAGUGACCAUGAGAGGUGAUACCUGAGUGUGCUGUGCCCUUACGCCCCGAGAAGGUCUUAGCAUGUCUCUGUUCUGAGUGAGGUGAAGGGUAGAAAGACAUAUGCCUCUCCAUACUGCCUUCAAUAGAGGGCUGUUUCUGUUCUGGAAGAAAGAAGGAUUAUUUGGACAUAAAGAAAAAGAUGUGCGUCCUUGUGCACCAGAUGGAUCGGAGAAGCCAGCAGACUCUUUCUGGGCACCACGUGGCGUAUAAACUGUGAAGAAGCUGUACAGGAGCUCUUUAAUAGGAUGAGAACCCAGUUGUUGAUUCUUUGUGCUAGUUCCCAAAUGACUGAGGUUCUGUUCAUGAAGUCUUUUCUUGAUUUCUUGGUAGCAGCC
rnacentral:lncRNA from 1 species